rnacentral:rRNA from 1 species
AUUGAACGCUGGCGGCAGGCCUAACACAUGCAAGUCGAAAGAGUGGCGGACGGGUGAGUAAUGUCUGGGAAACUGCCCGCUGGAGAGGGAUAACUACUGGAAACGGUAGCUAAUACCGCAUACCAUCGGAUGUGCCCAGAUGGGAUGCGCUAGUAGGUGGGGUAAAGGCUCACCUGGGCGAAGAUCCCUAGCUGGUCUGAGAGGAGGACCAGCCACAAUGGAACUGAGACACGGUCCAGACUCCUACGGGAGGCAGCAGUGGUGAAUAUUGCACAAUGGGCGCAAGCCUGAUGCAGCCAUGCCGCGUGUAUGAAGAAGGCCUUCGGGUUGUAAAGUACGUUCAGCGGGGAGGCGUUACCCGCAGAAGAAGCACCGGCUAACUCCGUGCCAGCAGCCGCGGUAAUUC